UUUUAAAAUGACAACUGUAAGACCCCCUUUCGGGGACCCCUUCUCUAGUCUCGGGAGUGUGAGAGCACCCAAAGAAACACGAAGACCC
rnacentral:pre_miRNA from 7 species